rnacentral:misc_RNA from 1 species
UAGCAACUUCUUCAUGAGAAGCAAGAGGCGCAGGAUAUUACUUUUUUCCACUCCAUCCUGAGCUAAUUUCUUGGCAGCAGGCUACAUUUUCUGGUCACGGGAAAAUCAAGAAGAGAAAAGAGAGAACAAUAAUGAUGAUUUCAGAUAUAAGAAAGUAAGGCUCUAUGAGACUGUGCAAACCCAUAAUUAAAGAAGAAGCCUGACGCGUGGGAGGUAAAAGCAAGUUCAUUGCGUAUUUAAAAACAAGUUCGCCAUUCAUUCACUUGGCUUUACUCUGGUACAAUUGCCUCGCUACAAUUCACAUCAUCUCCUUGUUUUUUUUGGGAUCAAUUCUCUUCAUGGAUAUUUGAAUUGUAAUCAUGGAAGAUAAUGACGAUAUUUUCUCGAAAAACUUCGCAAUGUUUGCUUUUAUCCAAGUUUAUGAGCUCAGUAAGGGCUUUUUGCAGUGCUUUUUCUUCCAAAUCCUCCCCCCAUUUUCAUACAUGUUCAAAUUCAGAUUCCUUCGUGUCAGCUCUUAUUGUUUCAAUAAGGUCUUGUACUUCGUUCUCUUAUUGCCAGUUACUUCAUUGCAUGGCAAUCAAAUCUUUAAGUUACGAUCAUGGUUUUAUUGGUGAUCAAAUAGUGUCUACUUAUGUUAGUUUGGGAUGCAUAGAAGAUGCCAAUAAUUUGUUCGAUGAAUUGCCUGACAAGGACUUGGUCUCUUGGAAUUCUCUGAUUUCUGGGUUUUCACGUGUAGGAGAUUUUGGUAAUUGCUUAAAAGCAUUUUCCAGGAUGAGAUUUGAAACAGACAUGAAACCCAAUGAUGUUACACUUAUACCUUUAAUUUCAGCUUGUACUGAUACUGCAGUUCUUGAUGUGGGCAAGAAUGUUCACGGGUUUGCAAUGAAAUUAGGUAUUCUUUUGGAGGUGAAAGUUGUUAACGCUCUUAUUAAUUUGUACGGAAAGUCUGGGUAUACGGAUGCAGCUUGUCUAUUAUUCGACGAAAUGCCAUUGCAGAAUUCUAUAUCAUGGAAUUCGGUCAUUGCAGUUCUUGUUCAAAUGGGAUUGGCUGAGGAAGGAAUGAGAUAUUUUAUUAUGAUGAGAAAGGCGGCAAUUGUGGCUGAUCAGGCCACUCUAGUAACCUUGCUUCAAGCCUGUGAAAAUCUAGGUGUAAGGAAACUGGUAGCGGCUAUUCAUGGUUACAUCUUCAGCUGUGGUCUUAAUAUGAACUUAGCUAUAGCAACUUCAUUGCUAAAGUUAUAUGCCAACUUGGGUAUAUUAAGUGCUUCUCAGAAGGUCUUUGGAGAGAUGACUAAGCCUGAUGCAGUGGCAUGGAGUGCCAUGCUUGCAGGCUACGCAGCACAUGGUUGUGGGAAAGAAGCAAUAGAUCUUUUUGAACUCAUGGUUAGAGAAGGCGUGGUGCUUGAUCAUGUUACAUUCACUCACUUGUUAAGUGCUUGUAGUCAUUCAGGGCUAGUGAAGGAGGGAAAAUAUUACUUCAAGAUUAUGUCUAAAGUUUAUGGAGUUGAGCCAAGGGUGGAUCACUAUUCAUGCAUGGUUGAUCUUCUAGGUCGCUCUGGACUUUUAGAUGAUGCUUAUAAGCUUGUCAAAAGCAUGCCAACAGAGUCAAAUUCUGCUGUGUGGGGAGCUCUUAUUGGCGCUUGUAGGGUCUAUGGUAAUGUUGAACUUGGGAAAGAAGUUGCAGAGCAAUUGAUUGCUUUAGACCCAUCAGACUCUAGAAACUACAUCAUGUUAUCAAAUAUGUAUGCUGCAGCUGGUCAAUGGAAAAAUGCUUCAAAGGUGAGGGCAUUGAUGAAGGAAAAAAAUCUCAUCAGAAAUCCUGGAUGUAGUUAUAUAGAACAUGGAAAUAGAAUUCGACGCUUUGUAACGGGUGAUCAAUCUCACCCUGAGACAAAGCAAAUAUAUAAAAAGUUGGAAGAGCUUAUUGGGAAGAUUAGAAAUGCUGGACAUGUAUCAAAAACAGAAUUUGUUCUGCAUGAUGUUGGUGAGGAUGUGAAAGAGGAUCUGAUCAAUAAGCAUAGUGAGAAGUUAGCCAUUGCAUUUGGACUUUUGGUGACUAAUGCUAACAUGCCAUUAAUUAUAACAAAGAACCUCAGAAUAUGUGGUGACUGUCACAGCUGUGCAAAGUUUGUAUCACUGAUAGAGAGGCGUACAAUAAUAAUUCGGGAUAGGAAGCGGUUUCACCAUUUUGCCAAUGGAUCAUGUUCAUGUGGGGAUUACUGGUAAUACUCUGCUUCAACUGUGAUAUUAACUUAUGUAUGUACCCAAAUUACACCCUUAUGAUAUUUAGAUACAAACUUCACAAUGAUUGCUGCACAUUCACCAAUAUAAGCAAUUCUUCGUAUCAAAAUAUUU